UACGAAGGGGGCUAGCGUUGCUCGGAAUCACUGGGCGUAAAGGGUGCGUAGGCGGGUUUUUAAGUCAGGGGUGAAAUCCUGGAGCUCAACUCCAGAACUGCCUUUGAUACUGAAGAUCUUGAGUUCGGGAGAGGUGAGUGGAACUGCGAGUGUAGAGGUGAAAUUCGUAGAUAUUCGCAAGAACACCAGUGGCGAAGGCGGCUCACUGGCCCGAUACUGACGCUGAGGCACGAAAGCGUGGGGAGCAAGCAGG
rnacentral:rRNA from 1 species